rnacentral:SRP_RNA from 1 species
GCCAGGUGUGGUGGCUCACGCCUGUAAUCCCAGCUACUUGGGAGGCUGAGGCAGGAUAAUUGCUUGAGCCCAGGAGCAGAAGUUGCAGUGAGCCAAGAUCGUGCCACUGCACUCCAGCCUGGGCAACAGAGCAAGACUUCGUCUCUA